GGAAGGCCUCUUGCUCAAAUGAGUAUUCCACAAUCUCAACAGGGAAAGACAAAGGUUCCCUCUUAAGAUUGUAUCAAAUGAGUAUUCCACCUUCAUUUUCUCAGUACUUUUUUGCAGAAAUGGAUACUCAUUUGGGCAAGAUGCCUUGC
rnacentral:pre_miRNA from 1 species